GACGAACGCUGGCGGCGUGCUUAACACAUGCAAGUCGAGCGGUAAGGACCCUUUCGGGGGUACACGAGCGGCGAACGGGUGAGUAACGACGUGGGUGACCUGCCCUUAGCUCUGGGAUAAGCCUGGGAAACUGGGUCUAAUACCGGAUAUGACUCCAUGACGCAUGUUGUGGGGUGGAAAGCCUUGUGCGGCUAGGGAUGGGCCCGCGGCCUAUCAGCUUGUUGGUGGGGUGAUGGCCUACCAAGGCGACGACGGGUAGCCGGCCUGAGAGGGCGACCGGCCACACUGGGACUGAGACACGGCCCAGACUCCUACGGGAGGCAGCAGUGGGGAAUCGUUGCGCAAUGGGCGAAAGCCUGACGCAGCGACGCCGCGUGAGGGAUGACGGCC
rnacentral:rRNA from 1 species